GGGGUUGUAGCUUAGUGGUAGAGCACUCAACUAGCACAUGUAAGGUGCUGGGUUCGAUUCUCAGCACCACCU
rnacentral:tRNA from 1 species